rnacentral:pre_miRNA from 1 species
AGGACUGUCCAACCUGAGAAUGUUGAUGUCAGGCUCAAUCUCAGGUUCGUCAGCCCAUG